rnacentral:rRNA from 1 species
CCUACGAGAGGCUGCAGUGGGGAAUAUUGGACAAUGGGCGAAAGCCUGAUCCAGCCAUGCCGCGUGUGUGAAGAAGGCCUUCGGGUUGUAAAGCACUUUCAGUGGGGAAGAAAGCCUUGGGGCUAAUACCCUCGAGGAAGGACAUCACCCACAGAAGAAGCACCGGCUAACUCCGUGCCAGCAGCCGCGGUAAUACGGAGGGUGCGAGCGUUAAUCGGAAUUACUGGGCGUAAAGCGCGCGUAGGCGGUCUGAUAAGCCGGUUGUGAAAGCCCCGGGCUCAACCUGGGAACGGCAUCCGGAACUGUCAGGCUAGAGUGCAGGAGAGGAAGGUAGAAUUCCCGGUGUAGCGGUGAAAUGCGUAGAGAUCGGGAGGAAUACCAGUGGCGAAGGCGGCCUUCUGGACUGACACUGACGCUGAGGUGCGAAAGCGUGGGUAGCAAACAGGAUUAGAUACCCUGGUAGUC